AUUGAACGCUGGCGGCAGGCCUAACACAUGCAAGUCGAACGAGUGGCGGACGGGUGAGUAAUGUCUGGGAAACUGCCCGAUGGAGGGGGAUAACUACUGGAAACGGUAGCUAAUACCGCAUACCAUCGGAUGUGCCCAGAUGGGUUUAGCUAGUAGGUGGGGUAAAGGCGCACCUAGGCGACGAUCCCUAGCUGGUCUGAUAGGAUGACCAGCCACACGGGAACUGAGCCACGGUCCAGUCUCCUCGGGGCGGCAGCAGGGGGGUAUAUUGCACAAUGGGCGCAAGCCUGAUGCAGCCGUGCCGCGUGUAUGAAGAAGUCCUUCGGGUUGUAAAGUACUUUCAUCGAGGAGGCGUUACUCGCAGAAGAAGCACCGGCUAACUCCGUGCCAGCAGCCGCGGUAAUAC
rnacentral:rRNA from 1 species